rnacentral:lncRNA from 1 species
UUGUAACUGCAAAUCCGAUCAGCAGAGAUUUCUGAGAUAUUUCACCGCUAUCACCAGUUUCAUUCUGGAAAAUAACAACAGAGGAUGAGAAGGAGAGAAGCACGACGGAGUUGAGUAUAAUUGCUGUGAUUUUAUGUCCGUUGAGGAAGAAGGAGGUGAUGGCGUUGAACGCCAAUUGAGUACCGGAAAUUAGGGAAUAAGUAGAGGCAGGAAGGUACUGUACUCCAACGGUAAAUGACAUAGAGUUCACUACUUGAAAUAAACCAAGGAAGAUGUAAACGGAAGCGCGAACAAAUACACUAGCAUUCACAGGUGGUUCAUUUUGAUUUCUGGUUGCAGAAUAGAAAAUAAAAGGCAGAAGAAUUGGGAAUCCAGCAGUUUGUGCUAGUGUAGCAAUCCAUCUGAUUUUGCCUCCUUGUUCAUAAUAUACUCUGCCCAACAGAGUCCCAGCUGCUUGACCACCAAUAGUAAAAAAUGUGAAGAUAAAUAUUUGUAGCCAUAGUAUAAAUUUACUCGACUGAAAUUUGCUGUUUUUCGCAUUUUCAGAGGACUCUGUUUCCUCUGCUUCUUCAUCUGUCAAAUGAAACAGGGCAACAUAAAAACAGAGAGACCAAAAUCAAAAUUGACUUCUAAUUCAGUGAAUUUGAGCGGGUUUAGCUCGAUCCAUUUCAACCAAACCCGUUUCAAUACUGUGGUUUGAUAUAGGUAACCUUAUAAACUCUAGAUUUAUCAAAAUCGAUGCAUCGGUGAAGCCAAAAAUUCAAAGUAAUAGAUUAAAAAUCAAAUGAAAUAUUUUUUUGCCUGUUUACGUAGUGUAAAUUUUUCAGUAGAGAUUUAAUAUGAUUUUGACUCAAUUGAGAUGACGAUGAAGAAGAAGAGCAACUGACAAGCUAGAUGAUGCAGCAAGUUUUCAUGAGCUCCUUCUUCCAUGCUAACAAAGUUUGUAUAAACCGUUUUUUUCUUCUUUUAUUGAAUGAUCAAUGAACUAUGGACACCCCAACCACAUUUUAUAAUUCAUUCCUUUAAUUUUAAUUUUAUAAUACUAAAUUAAAAUUAUAUCAAAUACGUGUGAUCUUAGAUAUAAUAGAUUUUAAGGAGUGUCAAUUUAAAAAAAGGAAGUAAAAAAAAUUAGAUGUUAGUUGAUAUAUCGUCUUAUAAGUAUUAAUUUGUUAUAAAACCAAAGAAUAUCUUAUUAAUUUAAUAGCGGAUUAGUAAAUUAAAAAAUCCAUAUCUAUUAAACCAAAUUAUUAAGCAAAAUUAAUCAUUUGGUGAACAAUCCUAUUUGGUAGUAUUUACCUAACUUCUGACUUUUGAGUGCUAAAUUCUAAUUUAAAAAAAAUAAAAUAUAAUAAUUUCUACUGAAUAUACAGUACUGUUAGGAAAUCAAUAAUCUAUUUUUUGGAAAUUCAAGAGUAUUGAGCAUAUUUGACAGAAUAGAUUCUUUUUAGACUUUAAUAUAAACACUAAAUAUUAAAUAUUUAUAAAAAAUAAAUAAAGGUCACAUCUCAUAAAGAUUAAAGGACCCCUCCAUUUUUAUUGGUGUGGGUCUCUGUGUACAUUUUUAUAGGUAUCAUCAAUUAUGUAACACACCUAAUUGUAAGUGGAGGCAGGGGCCGGUAAUUGAAUAUUUAAACUACACUCAACGACUAAUGACUUUUUAUUUUAAUGAUAUUUAAAUGAAGAUAAAUAAUAAUACAAAAUAAAAAUAAAAACAGUGUGAAAUUUCAUAAAUAGCUAAGGGAUGAAUCCUAAUAAUCUUCCGUAGUUACAUUUUGUCUAAUUAUGAUCCACAAUUAUUGUUUCAUUUCGUUGGGUUCAUUUUUCGUUCGCAUAUUUAAUUAUUUUUUUAAUAUAUAAUAAAUUAUACAAAUUGACUUUAUACAAGUUACAUAUUAUACAAACUAUGACUAUAGACAAAUAAGUGAUUGUAUACGAGUGUUGAAAUUAUAUAAUUGAUUCGUAUAAAGUAUUGUGGGUGAUACUAAAAAGAAAAAAUAUUACUAAUUUUUUUUUAAAAAAAACAUUUGUAUAAACACAAAUAUAUAUAGAUAUGUACGAUAUAAUAAUAAAAUAAUUAAAUAUACAAAUACAAAAAUAUAUAAAAAUAGAAUCUAUAUAAGUAAGUGUUCUUUGAUUAAACUGUGACCACAACUCAUAAUUAUAUAAAACUAUAAUUAUAUUAAAUAAUAUAUCAAUAAUAUUUAUCAAUUGACCUAACUUUUCCUAAAAUUAAUUAGUUCAACUAAUAUCAACGGAGAAAAGGACAGUACAAUAGGGGGUCCCAAAGGACGAAAUAAUUGAAUCUUUGAGAAGAUCCUAAAGCUUCUUUUUUGUUUUUUUUUAAUUAAAAAAAGAUUCAAAUGUCAAUUUGGACAACGAAAUUAUUGAAUCAUCGAAAAGAUUCUAAAGUUCCUUUCUUGCUUUUUUGGUUGAAGAAUUUUAUUUUACAGCCUUAUUAAAUAAAUUAUAAUUCAUAAAUACGAUACAUAAUAUAUCUUAAAAUAACACAUUAAUGAAUUGAAAUUUUUUUAAAAUAAAUGUUUAUAGUUAUCAGUUCAAAUAUGUAUUAUUUUACUUAGAUUCACUGAUCAACAUGAGUAGUAACUAGUUAUUUUUUAAUAGACAAACAAUCUUUUCAUAUUAAUCUUUUUGGGAAAAAAUAAACAAUUUUUUUUAUAAAAUAUAAAUUUAUAGAUCAACUUUUGUAUUUAUUUAUUUUUUAGGUAAAAUCACUAUUUAAAAUUCUAUAUUAUAUUUCUUAGAAAAUUUGAAAUUUAAAUUUAGAGUGAUUAUCAUGAAUUAAAUGCUCGCUCAAAUUAGAUAAUGUUAUAUCGCAAGCUUUAUUUAUUUAUUUUUUAAUUUUCUAUCUUGUGUUCAGAAUUCAUGUUCCGAUUAAAUUCGAAUUGUGCUACGCAGGGCCGUUAGGGAGUGGUGCCCCAAUAGAAACGCAAUCUUAUUUGAUUACAAGUUAGUGCUAUUUUUGUUAGUGGGGUGAAAGUUUGUCGUGUUGGUUGGUUGUGCGUGAGUUUUUGUUUUAUAAAGGAUAAGGGCAUGCCAUCUUGACAAAUGACACGUAACGUAUAAAAAGUCUAUCCUCGACCCCACUAAUUGGCGGAUUAAGGAUUUUAAAAUUGUGAGUGCUUCAAGUCCAUUAAACCCUAACACAACAGAUGCAAUAUACAACUUUGACUAUCCACAAAUGACCACCGCAUCAAUCAAUUUUUGAUAUGAGAAUAAUGGGUGCUCGAGCAGCCAGAAUAAUCAAUAUGAAAUCGAACUUAUUUUGACCACCGAAUAUGAAAAUUUUGGAAACCAAACGCACCCUUUAUAUGGAAGAACAAAAGAUACCUAAAUACAUAGCCAGAAGCAAAUCCAAUAUAUAAACAGCAGUUCAAUUUACACAGAAAUCAUAAAAUUUUACAUUUAAACAAUAAGCUAUAAAUUUACACAUUUAACUUGUCAAUCUAAAUAAGGAAGCUAAAUCAUUCAGAUAUAUAAGUUUCUUGAAUGAAAGGUUUGUUAAAAAUCAUCAUCCUGAUCAUCUGAGGAUUUAACUUCACUUGUUUUUGCCUCUAAAUCAUCGAGAUAAUGUUGAUAUAUAUAUGAUGCAUAUCCCCAUAAUCCCAAUAACAAUGAAAACACCUUCAACCCAUUCAUUCUAUCUUUCAAGAACAACAUCGCAAAUAUUGGUACAAUUGAAGUUCCCAGAUUGAUAAUCACAUUUGAAAACAACGAAGACGCCUUAAAAACCAAUCCAACUGAUCCAAGAGCGUAUAAUUGCCAAGCAAUAGCAGAACAAACUAAGUUUAAAACAUAUGACGAUUUCCCUGUUCUGUAUUCUCCCAUUUCCUUCCCCAAAUCCCUCCAAUUACCGCUCACGAAAAGCCCAGUUAACGAAGCUAUCGUCACGAAAAAACCUAUGAAAAACGACAUUUUCAUGACUUGUUUUAACGUGUUACUUUUGAAUACCUUUUGGAAUGCGAGUUCUGUUAAUGAGAACUGUAAUGCGUAACCUAGAGAACCGAAUGUUGUAGCUGCAAAUCCGAUCAGCAGAGAUUUCUGAGAUAUUUCUCCGCUAUCACCAGUCUCAUUCUGGAAUAUAACAGCAGAGGAUGAAAAGGAGAGAAGCACGACGGAGUUGAGUAUAAUUGCUGUGAUUUUUUGUCCGUUGAGGAGGUAGGAGGUGAUGGCGUUGAACGCCAAUUGAGAACCGGAGAUUAGGGAAUAAGUAGAGGCAGGAAGGUACUGUACUCCAACGGUAAAAGACAUAGAGUUUACUACUUGAAAUAAACCAAGGAAGAUGUAAACGGAAGCGCGAACAAAUAUGGAAGGGUGGUGAAUGGUUCGUUCAUCUUCAUUGUGAUUUUUGGGUGAAGGAUAGCAAAUGAAAGGCAGGAGAAUUGAGAAUCCAGCAGUUUGUGCCAAUGUAGCAAUCCAUCUGGUUUGGCCACCUUGUUCAUAGUAUACUCUGCCCAACAGAGUGCCAGCUGCUUGACCACCAAGAGUAAAAAAAGUGAAGAUGAAUAUUUGAAGCCAUAGUAUGAAUUUACUUGAUUGAAGUCUGCUGGUUUUUGCAUUUUCAGAGGACUCUGUUCCCUCUGCUUCUUCAACUGUCAAAUGAAACAGGGCAACACAAAAACAGAGAGAUCAAAGUCUCGCCAUCUUAGUAACUCAGUUGAUUACGAAUCUCACUUAAUAUUAUUUUUUCUUCUAUCCAUAAAUUAAAUCCUUUAAAAUAAACAAAAAGAAUAGAAUAUAUACUCUAAAGGUCAAAUAUAUUACAUCAGCAUUUGGUGGAACCAAGAGUUCUAAAUUCAUUUUUUUAAUAAUGAAAAACAAUGCUCUGUUAGAUAGAGAGUGCAAAAUAACAAUAAUAAUUUAAUUCUGGAUAAGCCACGGAAUCAAGAGCAUAUUUGAAUGAAUAAAAGAUAAAACGAAAUUUAUUCAGAAGUUCUUAUCCAAUAAUAAUUCAGAAAUUGGGAUAGAAUUAGAGCAGGGACAGAGCUAGCAAAAGUCGAUGAGGUUUAUCGGGUUACAUUUCAUGAGGUAGAUUAGGGAUCGAUUCCCUCUGUCAAUUCCUGAUAACUCUAGCUCUUUCAGUUUGUUGCAUAGGCUUUGUUUAGUACGAUUUAUAUUUGCUAGUUAUAACAUAGAAACGGGUUAAGAAUUACAACAUAGACUUUUCAGCUACUCCACGACAGGAUUUUUCUUUGAAUUAAAGUUUGAAAGUGGUGACGAGUAAGAAGAAGAAGAAAAAUGGUAUAUUAACCAAAAGCAAAAUCAGGAAUUCAAGCAAGGAGAUUCAAAAACAUACAAAACUUUUCAUAAUUUUUUUUUUUCCCUAGUAUAAUUUUUCGACUAAGCUUCCCAACACAGAUGACAAUAAAUUGAGAUGAUGAAGAAGAGGAGAGAACUAACCAGUGAGAUUCAGCAGUUUUUCAUGUGCUCCUUCCAUGCUAACACGCGCCUUAAAAUUUGGAUGACCGUUUUCUUCUCUUAUUGAUCUAUAUUAACUUAUAGAAGCACAAAGUAUUAUUCUGUUUUUUUUAUUUGCACAACUGGAUUUAUCGUGAUUAGUCACCCAUCAGGAAAAAUUAUAUAAAUUGAUAUAUUUUAAUAAAUUAUUAUUAAUUUUUUUAAAUAAUACUUAUAUAGUAUAUGAAUAUUAAUGUUUUCUUUUUUGUAAAUUGACAUUAAAAUACUUUUUUUAAAAAAAAUAUUGAUCAAGUACGUUAUAUUUGCAAAUAUUAAAAAAACUUUUCUCGAAAAAUUUGUCAAAGAAAACUGUUUUUUUUUCUUUUUCAAAAGGUACUUUAAAUUAACGAUACUUGUGAUAACAUUAUUUUUCACAAAAAUUAAUUCAUAAAAAAUUGUAUAAAAAUAAGUUCAGCAAUAUGUUCUCUUUUAGGUCUUUAUAUUUUCUCCGCCUUACGCGAACUUAAAAGAGUACUUGAGGUGAAUUUUAUAUUAAAAUAUGUGUUUGUUUAUGAUAUUUGAACAAAUUUCAUUUUUUUAAAAUCUUUUUAUAUAUAUAUUGUCAAACUAUACAAUUUGAGUUUAUACAAAUAACAUAUCAUAUACGACUCAUUGUAUUUGUGUUGUAUACAAACCUUUACUGUAGACAAAUAAGUCAUUAUACAUGAGUGUUGAAAUUAUAUCAAUGGUUCGUACGGAGUAUUGUGGGUAACAAUAUAUUGAAAAAAAAUACACAACAAAAAAUUAAAAAAUAUUUAUAGAUGCAAAUAUGUAUAGAUAUACAUAUAUACUAACAAAAUUGUUAAUACGUAUGAAAAUAUAAAAAUAUAUAUAAAUUAAUAUAUACAAACACCUAAGAUUCUUUAUAAAAAUUUUCAUUAUAUUAUAGCUAAAAAAUUUAGUUAUAUAAAACAAUAACUAUAUUAAAUUGUAUACUAAUAUUACAUGUCAAUUUACAUGAUUUUUUUAAAAUUAAUUAUUUCAACAAAUAUAUGAACAAAAGAACAAAAGGACAGCACACCGUGGGGUCCGAAAGGACGAAAUAAUUGAAUCUUUGAAAAGAUCCUAAAAAAAUAAAUCAUGAAUUGAUAUUUAAUUGAAUACGUAAUUUGGAUCUUUUAUGAUUUUUUUUAAUUAAGACUCCAAGUUGUGUAAUUUAUUCAGAUUUAAGAAAAAUUUAUAGAGUCUUGUAUAAUUCAUAAAUAAAAUACUAGAAUGUUCUAAAACGAUGCAUUUAUAAAUCUCAUUUUUUGCAUAUUUUUUUCUAUAAAUAAAUGCUUACAGUUACGAGCUUUCAAAUAUAUAUAAAUUAAUAAAGUUCACAAUCAAUAAUAAUAGUAAUUGGUUAUUUUUUGAUUGAAUAUUUUCCCAAGAGUACAACCAAUCUCUUCCGGUCAAUUUUAAGUUUUCUUUUUGAAAAAAAAAUCAAAACAAGUUCUUUUCUAUAGUAUAUAUAUAGGAAUUUUAGGUCAAGUUUUAUAUUCCUUUUUUUUAAAAUCACUAUUUAAAAUUCUGUUUUUCUUAAAAUAAAAUAUGAAAACUUAAAUUUAAAAUUACGACUUAACGUGACCAAACAUAAACAUUGAUUUGUGUUGUGUGAGUUGUUUUUACAGUAGAAGGAUAAGGGUUUGCCAUCUUGAGUCUUGACAAAUGACAAGUAACGGGGUGAGUCAGGGUGUAUGAUCUUUUUAUUUUCUUUAAUAUUUUGUUAUACGUAAAAUUAAUUUUUAUAAUUAUUAAAUGUCGUGUGUUUUCAUUUGAUUUGUCAUUUUAUCACAUUAUAUGUUUUUGUUCUACACACAAGUGUUUAAUAGAAAAUAAAGGUGUGUAAGUAAAUUAUAUUGAUAAUUUUAAUUUUAAGGGCCCCAAAUAAUCUGUGCCUUUUAUAUAUAAAUAUAUAUAUAUAUAUGUAAAUUAUAUAAUUUGGUUUUGUACUAGUAAAGUAUUAUAUUCAAAUAGAUAAAUAAAUAAUUUUUGAGUGCUGAAAGUAUACAAGUGGUUCGAACAAAAUAUUAUGGUGAUAAUAUAACGGAAAAUAAAUAUAAGACUAAAAAUAAAAAGUUAUUUAUGUAGAUGGAAAUACGUACAGAUAUACAUGGUAAUUAAUAUACUAACAAAAUUAUUAAUUAUGUAUACAAAUAUAAGAAUACAUUAAAAUUAAUAUAUCCUGAUAUAAUUUAUAUAAACGCCUGAAAUUCUUGAUAACUAAUUUUAUUAAAUUAUAGCUAUAAUUCAUAAUUAUAUAAAAUUAUAACUAUAUAUUAUAUAAUAAACUACAAAUAUUAUUUGCUAAUUUACGUGAUUUUUUCGAAAAUUAAUUAGUUCAACAAAUCUAUGAACAUGAGGGUCCCAAAGGACGAAAUAAUUGAAUCUUUGAAAAGAUCCUUUUUUGUCGUCUGGUUAAAAAGAUUCUAAGGUCAAUUUGGACUGGAUCAUGAUUUUAAAUUUUAAUUUGAAUAUGUAAUUGGGAUCUUUUAUGGGUUUUUAAUAUAAAAAUUUUAAAGUUGCAAAAAUCCUUUAAUUUAUCUAAAAAAAUUUAUAGGUCUUAUCAAAUAAAUAAUUAUAAUGCAAAAAUAAGAUAUUAAAAUAUCUUAAAACAACGCAUUGAUAAAUCACAUGCAUGCAUGUUCCUUUUGUAAAUAAAUAUUUACAAUUAUAAACUUUCAAAAAUAUGUAAAAUUUUGCUAAAAUCAUUAAGACUAGUAAUUAUUUAUUUUUUGCUAAAAUAUUUUAACAUAAUACAAACAAUCUCUUUAUAUUAAAAUAAAUUAUUUAAAAUUUUAAAUUAUAUUUUUUUAGAAAAUAUGAAAUUUAAAUUUAGAAUGAUUAUCACGAAUCAAAUGCACACUCAAAUAUUAAUUUAAAAUUAGGGGAGCUUUCGCAAAUAGUCACUAUAUAUAACAAGCUUAACUAUGCUCCAUAGCUAUAACUUACAUAUUUAUGGAUUGUAGCUACAAUCUAAGCUGUCUCUUUCAUAUAAUUCGUGAAUUUGUGUAAUUCGCAGGUUUAUAUAACCUGCGGGUACAUUUGUAGAGUUCAGUUAUUUUUGUAUGAACUCGAAGUAACAAAUUUAUACAAUAACAAACAUCAGAAGUGUAAACAGUUAUACACAUAAUAUUAUAUAAAUUUCAAAUUAUACAAAAGUUAUGCAAAUUAUAUUACAAAUUCUGAAUUAUAUAAAUAUGUAAAUUAUACAAAAUUAAAAAACGAAACAUCAUAAUUAUAAUUAAAAGUAGAUCAUAAUUAAUAAAACAAAAAUAAAAUAUAACUAUAUUAACUAAUAAGCGUAAUUUUCCCUUAAAAUAUUUAUUCCGUGACCAAACGCAAACAUUGAUUUGUUGUGCGUUAGUUUUUAUAAACGAUAAGGGGGCAUGCCAUCUUCACAAAUAGCAACUAACGUAUAAAAAGUCGUCCCUCAGCCCACACUUAUUUGACUUCUUUUCAUUCAGCUGGACCACUGAGGAUGAGGCCUAACGGAUGGGCAUGUGCGUGCGUUCGUAAAUUUUAAAAAGAUUAUAUAAAUAUAAAUAUUUUGAAAAAUUUAUAAUGUAUUUAUAAAAAAUAUAAAAUUAACGUUGUAUUGUUGGUACAAGUUAGAGUAUUUAUACUCAAAACUUGAAUUUGAAUCCGUUAGAGCUUAUAUUUGAGGUAAGGUAAUAUUGGUGCACCCGUUUUAUUGAAGAACAAAAGAUACACAAAUACAUAGCCAAAGGCAAAUCCAUUAUAUUAAGACGAUUGGAUAACAAGCUACAACUUUACAUAUUGAACUUAUCCAUCUGAAUUACAAAGUUUCUUACUAAAAAUCAUCAUCCUGAUUAUCUGAGGCUUUAAUUUCACUAUUUUUUGCCUCUAAGUCAUCGAGAUAAUGUUGAUAUAUAUAUGAUGCAUAUCCCCAUAAUCCCAAUAGCAAUGAAAACACCUUCAACCCAGUAAUUCUAUCUUUCAAGAACACCAUUGCAAAUAUUGGCACAAUUGAACCUCCAAAAUUGAUGAUCACAUUAGAGAACAACGAAGAUGCCUUUGAAACCAAUCCAAAUGAUCCAACAGCGUAUAACUGCCAAGAAAUGGCAGUACAAAUCAAGUUUAUAAAAUAGGACGACUUCCCUGUUCUGUAUUCUCCUAUUUCCUUCUCCAAAUCCCUCCAAUUACCGCUCGCGAAAAGCCCAAUCAACGAAGCUAUCGUCACGAAAAAACCUAUGAAAAACGACAUUUUCAUGACUUGUUUUAACGUGUUACUUUUGAAUACCUUUUGGAAUGCGAGUUCUGUUAAUGAGAACUGUAAUGCGUAACCUAGAGAACCGAAUGUUGUAACUGCAAAUCCGAUCAGCAGAGAUUUCUGAGAUAUUUCACCGCUAUCACCAGUCUCAUUCUGGAAAAUAACAACAGAGGAUGAGAAGGAGAGAAGCACGACGGAGUUGAGUAUAAUUGCAGUGAUUUUGUGUCCGUUGAGGAAGAAGGAGGUGAUGGCGUUGAACGCCAAUUGAGUACCGGAAAUUAGGGAAUAAGUAGAGGCAGGAAGGUACUGUACUCCAACGGUAAAUGACAUAGAGUUCACUACUUGAAAUAAACCAAGGAAGAUGUAAACGGAAGCGCGAACAAAUAUAGAAGGGUGGUGAGUGGUUAGUUCAUCUUCAUUGUGAUUUUUGGGUGAAGGAUAGCAAAUGAA